rnacentral:tRNA from 1 species
GGUGUAGCUCAACCGGCAGAGCGCCUGGCUGUUAACCAGGAGGUUGGUGGUUCGAACCCACCC